rnacentral:rRNA from 1 species
UACGUAGGGUGCAGGCGUUAAUCGGAAUUACUGGGCGUAAAGCGUGCGCAGGCGGUUUGCUAAGACAGGUGUGAAAUCCCCGGGCUUAACCUGGGAACUGCGCUUGUUACUGGCAGGCUUGAAUCCGGGAGAGGGAUGCGGAAUUCCAGGUGUAGCGGUGAAAUGCGUAGAUAUCUGGAGGAACACCGGUGGCGAAGGCGGCAUCCUGGACCGGCAUUGACGCUGAGGCGCGAAAGCCCAGGGGGAGCAA